rnacentral:rRNA from 1 species
AAGUCGAACGGCAGCACGGGAGCUUGCUCCUGGUGGCGAGUGGCGAACGGGUGAGUAAUGCGUCGGAACGUACCGAGUAAUGGGGGAUAACGCAGCGAAAGCUGUGCUAAUACCGCAUACGCCCUGAGGGGGAAAGCGGGGGAUCGCAAGACCUCGCGUUAUUCGAGCGGCCGACGUCUGAUUAGCUAGUUGGUGGGGUAAUGGCCCACCAAGGCGACGAUCAGUAGCGGGUCUGAGAGGAUGAUCCGCCACACUGGAACUGAGACACGGUCCAGACUCCUACGGGAGGCAGCAGUGGGGAAUUUUGGACAAUGGGGGCAACCCUGAUCCAGCCAUUCCGCGUGAGUGAAGAAGGCCUUCGGGUUGUAAAGCUCUUUCAGCCGGAAAGAAACGGUGCGCACUAACAUUGCGUGCUAAUGACGGUACCGGCAGAAGAAGCACCGGCUAACUACGUGCCAGCAGCCGCGGUAAUACGUAGGGUGCGAGCGUUAAUCGGAAUUACUGGGCGUAAAGCGUGCGCAGGCGGAUUGUUAAGCAAGAUGUGAAAUCCCCGGGCUUAACCUGGGAAUGGCAUUUUGAACUGGCAGUCUAGAGUGCGUCAGAGGGGGGUGGAAUUCCACGUGUAGCAGUGAAAUGCGUAAAUAUGUGGAGGAACACCAAUGGCGAAGGCAGCCCCCUGGGAUGACACUGACGCUCAUGUACGAAAGCGUGGGUAGCAAACAGGAUUAGAUACCCUGGUAGUCCACGCCCUAAACGAUGUCAACUGGUUGUUGGGAGAGUGAAAUCUCUUA